rnacentral:rRNA from 1 species
GAUGAACGAUGGCGGCGUGCCUAAUACAUGCAAGUCGAGCGAACGGACGAGAAGCUUGCUUUUCUGAUGUUAGCGGCGGACGGGUGAGUAACACGUGGAUAACCUACCUAUAAGACUGGGAUAACUUCGGGAAACCGGAGCUAAUACCGGAUAAUAUUUUGAACCGCAUGGUUCAAAAGUGAAAGACGGUCUUGCUGUCACUUAUAGAUGGAUCCGCGCUGCAUUAGCUAGUUGGUAAGGUAACGGCUUACCAAGGCAACGAUGCAUAGCCGACCUGAGAGGGUGAUCGGCCACACUGGAACUGAGACACGGUCCAGACUCCUACGGGAGGCAGCAGUAGGGAAUCUUCCGCAAUGGGCGAAAGCCUGACGGAGCAACGCCGCGUGAGUGAUGAAGGUCUUCGGAUCGUAAAACUCUGUUAUUAGGGAAGAACAUAUGUGUAAGUAACUGUGCACAUCUUGACGGUACCUAAUCAGAAAGCCACGGCUAACUACGUG